UACGUAGGGUGCAGGCGUUAAUCGGAAUUACUGGGCGUAAAGCGUGCGCAGGCGGUCUUUUAAGUCAGAUGUGAAAUCCCCGGGCUUAACCUGGGAACUGCGUUUCUAACUGGCAGGCUUGAGUUGUGGCAGAGGGGGGUGGAAUUCCACGUGUAGCAGUGAAAUGCGUAGAGAUGUGGAGGAACACCGAUGGCGAAGGCAGCCCCCUGGGCUAACACUGACGCUCAUGCACGAAAGCGUGGGGAGCAAACAGG
rnacentral:rRNA from 1 species